GACGAACGCUGGCGGCGUGCUUAACACAUGCAAGUCGAACGGAGUGGCGAACGGGUGAGUAACACGUGGGUGAUCUGCCUUGAACAUCGGGAUAAGCUUGGGAAACUGGGUCUAAUACCGGAUAGUGCAAGAUGAGCUCGCGGCCUAUCAGCUUGUUGGUGGGGUAAUGGCCUACCAAGGCGUCGACGGGUAGCCGGCCUGGGAGGGUGUACGGCCACAUUGGGCCUAAGAUACGUCCCAGACUCCUACGGGAGGCAGCGGUGGGGAGUAUUGCGCAAUGGGCGGAAGCCUGAUGCAGCGACGCCGCGUGGGGAAUGAAGGCCUUCGGGUUGUAAACUCCUUUCGACAGGGACGCGGUACCUGUAUAAGAAGCACCGGCUAACUACGUGCCAGCCGCCGCGGUAAUAC
rnacentral:rRNA from 1 species